GACGAACGCUGGCGGCGUGCCUAAUACAUGCAAGUAGAACGCACAGUUUAUACCGUAGCUUGCUACACCAUAGACUGUGAGUUGCGAACGGGUGAGUAACGCGUAGGUAACCUGCCUGGUAGCGGGGGAUAACUAUUGGAAACGAUAGCUAAUACCGCAUAAUAUUAAUUAUUGCAUGAUAAUUAAUUGAAGGGUGCAAUUGCACCACUACCAGAUGGACCUGCGUUGUAUUAGCUAGUAGGUGAGGUAACGGCUCACCUAGGCGACGAUACAUAGCCGACCUGGGAGGGUGAUCGGCCACACUGGGACUGAGACACGGCCCAGACUCCUACGGGAGGCAGCAGUAGGGAAUCUUCGGCAAUGGACGAAAGUCUGACCGAGCAACGCCGCGUGAGUGAAGAAGGUUUUCGGAUCGUAAAGCUCUGUUGUAAGAGAAGAACGGGUGUGAGAGUGGAAAGUUCACACUGUGACGGUAUCUUACCAGAAAGGGACGGCUAACUACGUG
rnacentral:rRNA from 1 species